rnacentral:rRNA from 1 species
CUUGUAAAAGACGGCCCAGUGCAAAGUUUGCAUGCCUCCAGUCUCUGGUUGAUCCUGCCGACCCCGACUGCUAUCAGAGUGGGACUAAGCCAUGCGAGUCAACGUAGCAAUGCGUGGCGAACGGCUCAGUAACACGUAGUCAACAUGCCCAGGGGACGUGGAUAACCUCGGGAAACUGAGAUUAAACCGCGAUAGGUCAAGAUUUCUGGAAUGGAUCGUGUCUUAAAUCUACAUGGCCCCUGGAUUGGACUGCGGCCGAUCAGGCUGUUGGUGAGGUAAUGGCCCACCAAACCUAUAACCGGUACGGGCUCUGAGAGGAGAAGCCCGGAGAUGGGCACUGAGACAAGGGCCCAGGCCCUAUGGGGCGCAGCAGGCGCGAAGCCUCUGCAAUGGGCGAAAGCCUGACAGGGUUACUCUGAGUGAUUUCCGUUAAGGAGAUCUUUUGGCAGCUCUAAAAAUGGUGCAGAAUAAGGGGUGGGCAAGUCUGGUGUCAGCCGCCGCGGUAAUACCAGCACCCCGAGUGGUCGGGACGAUUAUUGGGCCUAAAGCAUCCGUAGCCGGUUGUGCAAGUCCUCCGUUAAAUCCAGCCGCUCAACGGAUGGGCUGCGGAGGAUACUACAGGACUAGGAGGCGGGAGAGGCAAGCGGUACUUAGUGGGUAGGGGUAAAAUCCUUUGAUCCAUUGAAGACCACCAGUGGCGAAGGCGGCUUGCCAGAACGCGCUCGACGGUGAGGGAUGAAAGCUGGGGGAGCAAACCGGAUUAGAUACCCGGGUAGUCCCAGCUGUAAACGAUGCAGACUCGGUGAUGGGCUAGCCUCGUGUCAGCCCAGUGCCGCAGGGAAGCCGUUAAGUCUGCCGCCUGGGGAGUACGGUCGCAAGACUGAAACUUAAAGGAAUUGGCGGGGGAGCACCACAAGGGGUGAAGCCUGCGGUUCAAUGGAGUCAACGCCGGGACUCAGAGUCCCGUCGAUAUGCCC